UACGGAGGGGGCGAGCGUUAUUCGGAAUUAUUGGGCGUAAAGGGCGCGUAGGCGGCUGUACAAGUCAAAGGUGAAAUCCCUCGGCUCAACUGAGGAACUGCCUUUGAAACUGUAUGCUUGAGGCCGGGAGGGGGUAGCGGAAUUCCCAGUGUAGCGGUGAAAUGCGUAGAUACUGGGAGGAACACCAGUGGCGAAGGCGCUACCUGGACCGGUUCUGACGCUGAGGCGCGAAAGCGUGGGUAGCAAACAGG
rnacentral:rRNA from 1 species